CUUCCUCCUCCAGUGGUGGGAUAUGAGCCACCGGCAAGGAGGGACGCCAAUAAGGUGUCCGAUAAGAUAAGUCUUAUAAAAUAUAUAGAUUUAUGAUAAUUAAGACUGAGCUAGCAGAUGAGAAUCCUAGUCAUUGGACAAGCAGCUUUGAACCUAAAAAAAAAAAAAAAAAGAAAGCCUCAUGAACAAAUGCUCUACUGUGUCUUCCUGGAUACAUUUGAUAGCAAAGGGAGAACAGAAACUUGCUCCAGAUGAAUUGGGUACAAAAUAGAAGGCUACUAAGUGAAGGAAAGAAAAAGUUACAGAAUUUUGUUUGACUUAAUGGCUGCUUACCUGCAAAAAAGCACCCCUGAAGACUUGCCGCAUCUAGAAGACACAGGACUGAGUGAGUGGCACCAUUGUUGGCAUAAGUGGUUCUUGGGAAGCUGUGCAGAUCUGUUGAAGCCUUUCACAAAGCAGCAAAAAUUCAGUGACAACUGCUGUAAAGGAUUAUGAGAGAGGGGUGUGGGAGUUCCACUUCUGCUGAUUUCCUGUAUAGUUUAAUAAUUUUUUGUUAUUUUUAGGUUCAAUCUACUGUUGUUCAUAAGAAAGAUAUCUUUACUACCAUUUAUCUAAACACUGAGUCAAAAUUGGAUUUUGGAAAAAUGAAUUAUAUUGUUUCAUUUAGUUUAAGUGACCAGGUAGGAUAAAAACAACAAAAAAUAGUCUAUCUAAGGAAAGAAAACAAUCAAAAAACUAUCUAAACAGAAAAUUAUCUUUAGAAGCUAUAAUUCUGACAAAGGAUUAAUAUCCAGAAUAUACAAAACAACAACAAAGUAAAACCCUCAAAAAAGAGUCAAGGCAGGAUUACCACUAAAAAAUGGGCCAUGCAACUAAAUAGAGAGUUCACAAUAGAAGAAACAAAAAAUAGCUAAGAAUUAGCUAAAAAGGUGAUCAUUGUCCUCAAUAAUUUGGGAAGUACAUAUUAAAACAGCUAUGAGAUUUCAACCUAACUGAGUUAUAACAUCUAAGUUGAACACAACAACUGAUAACAAAAGCUGGCAAGGUUCUGAAAAGAGGAACACUUACUCUCUGAUGGUUGGAAUGAAAACCAAUGAAGCUACUAUGGAAAUUAGGGAUACAGAUCCUCAAAAAAAGGUAAAUCUACCAUAUGAUACAGCUACACCACUCAUUGGUAUAUGCCCAUAGGGUUAAACAUCCUACUCUACAGACACUUUAUGGACAAUCUUUAUUGCUGCCCUAGUCACUAUAGCUAGGAAGUGGAUAAAAUGUGUCCUUCAACAGCUGAAUGGUUAAGGAAAACGUGGUAGAUACAAACAAUAAAAUGCUACUCAGCUGUAAAGAAAAAUGAAUA
rnacentral:lncRNA from 1 species